ACACAUGCAGUCGAGCGGCAGCGGGUCCUUCGGGAUGCCGGCGAGCGGCGGACGGGUGAGUAAUGCCUAGGAAUCUGCCUGGUAGUGGGGGAUAACGUUCGGAAACGGACGCUAAUACCGCAUACGUCCUACGGGAGAAAGUGGGGGAUCUUCGGACCUCACGCUAUCAGAUGAGCCUAGGUCGGAUUAGCUAGUUGGUGGGGUAAAGGCUCACCAAGGCGACGAUCCGUAACUGGUCUGAGAGGAUGAUCAGUCACACUGGAACUGAGACACGGUCCAGACUCCUACGGGAGGCAGCAGUGGGGAAUAUUGGACAAUGGGCGAAAGCCUGAUCCAGCCAUGCCGCGUGUGUGAAGAAGGUCUUCGGAUUGUAAAGCACUUUAAGUUGGGAGGAAGGGCAGUCAGUUAAUACCUGGUUGUUUUGACGUUACCAACAGAAUAAGCACCGGCUAACUUCGUGCCAGCAGCCGCGGUAAUACGAAGGGUGCAAGCGUUAAUCGGAAUUACUGGGCGUAAAGCGCGCGUAGGUGGUUCAGCAAGUUGGAGGUGAAAUCCCCGGGCUCAACCUGGGAACUGCCUCCAAAACUACUGAGCUAGAGUACGGUAGAGGGUGGUGGAAUUUCCUGUGUAGCGGUGAAAUGCGUAGAUAUAGGAAGGAACACCAGUGGCGAAGGCGACCACCUGGACUGAUACUGACACUGAGGUGCGAAAGCGUGGGGAGCAAACAGGAUUAGAUACCCUGGUAGUCCACGCCGUAAACGAUGUCGACUAGCCGUUGGGUUCCUUGAGGACUUAGUGGCGCAGCUAACGCGAUAAGUCGACCGCCUGGGGAGUACGGCCGCAAGGUUAAAACUCAAAUGAUAUUGGAGCGGGGGAAGGC
rnacentral:rRNA from 1 species